rnacentral:rRNA from 1 species
AUUGAACGCUGGCGGCAUGCUUUACACAUGCAAGUCGAACGGCAGCGCGGGCUUCGGCCUGGCGGCGAGUGGCGAACGGGUGAGUAAUACAUCGGGACGUGCCCAGUAGUGGGGGAUAGCUCGGCGAAAGCCGGAUUAAUACCGCAUACGACCUGAGGGUGAAAGCGGGGGAUCUUCGGACCUCGCGCUAUUGGAGCGGCCGAUGGCAGAUUAGCUAGUUGGUGGGGUAAAGGCCUACCAAGGCGACGAUCUGUAGCUGGUCUGAGAGGACGACCAGCCACACUGGGACUGAGACACGGCCCAGACUCCUACGGGAGGCAGCAGUGGGGAAUUUUGGACAAUGGGCGAAAGCCUGAUCCAGCAAUGCCGCGUGUGUGAUGAAGGCCUUCGGGUUGUAAAGCACUUUUGGCGGGAACGAAAAGGACUGUGCCAAUACCACGGUUCGAUGACGGUACCCGCAGAAUAAGCACCGGCUAACUACGUG